rnacentral:rRNA from 1 species
AUUGAACGCUGGCGGCAGGCCUAACACAUGCAAGUCGAACGGUAACAGGAAACAGCUUGCUGUUUCGCUGACGAGUGGCGGACGGGUGAGUAAUGUCUGGGAAACUGCCUGAUGGAGGGGGAUAACUACUGGAAACGGUAGCUAAUACCGCAUAACGUCGCAAGACCAAAGAGGGGGACCUUCGGGCCUCUUGCCAUCGGAUGUGCCCAGAUGGGAUUAGCUAGUAGGUGGGGUAACGGCUCACCUAGGCGACGAUCCCUAGCUGGUCUGAGAGGAUGACCAGCCACACUGGAACUGAGACACGGUCCAGACUCCUACGGGAGGCAGCAGUGGGGAAUAUUGCACAAUGGGCGCAAGCCUGAUGCAGCCAUGCCGCGUGUAUGAAGAAGGCCUUCGGGUUGUAAAGUACUUUCAGCGGGGAGGAAGGGAGUAAAGUUAAUACCUUUACUCAUUGACGUUACCCGCAGAAGAAGCACCGGCUAACUCCG